CAUUCCAAGGACAACAAUUGAAUGUUGAUUUAUGGCUGAGAUCCAUCCCAUCUGCAACUAGUCUUGACAUCUGUAUAACCAAUUUUUUUUUUCAACGCGAAGCAUAGUGCCGAGAAGAGGUUGGAGCCCAGGAGUACAGGGGAGGUGUACCAUACCUACAUGAUGAUGUGGCUGCUACAUUCAUGAGAUGAUACUGUGGCAAGAGAGAACAUGAUAAAACUAGAGAUGAGCAUAUUCGGUCUUCAGGAAGCUGAGCCCACCUGUACUUCCGGGAUCCGAGUGAGUCCGAGCGGCGCCUUGAUCGGAUUUCAAAUUGAGGCAAAAUGUCAUCAUCCUGGUGUCAAAUUCUCACAGGUUUUGGAUUCUAUAUAAGUCCCUCCCUCUGUGAUUUGGAUGCCAUUUCAUACUGAUCCCAGUCCACAUCCCCUCCCUGUGUCCAGUGGCUGCUGCUGUGUCCAUCCACUCCCUGGUGUAAAUUUACUAAGCUGAGAGUUCUAUUUAAAAUAGAAUGUUGCCCAUAGCAACCAGUCAGAUUCUACAUCUCAUUUAUCUAGCACCUUCAAGAAUAUAAUACCUGGAAUCUGAUUGGUUGCUAUGGGCAACAUUGCAUCUUAAAUAGAACAUCUUAUAACAUCUCCCAUCUUAGUAGUAAAUUUACCCCCCCUAUGUCCUUCCGCUCAAGUUACUGUGCUGUGUCCAUACACUCAAGUAGCUUCUGUGUCCAUCCUGUCCAGUAGCUGCUGCUGUGCUGUGUCUAUCCAGUCCACUGGCUAUGCUGAGCUGACCUAUCUGUUCAGUCCACUCCCCACAGUGUUAAUAUUGGCUGAGCAGGAUUUACAGUACAGGCAGAUCGCAAAUAAUUUAUAGUGCAGGAAUUAUUACUAGUCUAAUUGGACUGUCAAACUGCGGUGCUUCACUGUGGCUCUGCAGGCUAUAUCCCACUGUGUUCACAUAAAUAUAAGCAGUGUGACUCACAGCAUCAGUCAUUAUUUGCAAAAAAAUAAAUAAAAAUGUUUUUAUUAUUUAUACAACCUGUGUGCGCUGUCCCCCAGUACAUUCACAUAAAUAAA